CCUACGGGUGGCAGCAGUGAGGAAUAUUGGUCAAUGGACGAGAGUCUGAACCAGCCAAGUAGCGUGAAGGAUGACUGCCCUAUGGGUGGUAAACUUCUUUUAUAUGGGAAUAAAACAGGGUAUGCAUACCCUCUUGUAUGUACCAUAUGAAUAAGGAUCGGCUAACUCCGUGCCAGAAGCCGCGGUAAUACGGAGGAUCCGAGCGUUCUCCGGAUUUAGUGGGUUUAAAUGGAGCGUAGGUGGAUUGUUAAGUCAGUUGUGAAAGUUUGCGGCUCAACCGUAAAAUUGCAGUUGAAACUGGCAGGCUUGAGUACAGUAGAGGUGGGCGGAAUUCGUGGUGUAGCGGUGAAAUGCUUAGAUAUCACGAAGAACUCCGAUUGCGAAGGCAGCUCACUGGACUGCAACUGACACUGAUGCUCGAAAGUGUGGGUAUCAAACAGGAUUAGAUACCCGGGUAGUC
rnacentral:rRNA from 1 species